GUAAACAAGAGCAAAACUCCGUCUCAAAAAAAAAAAAAAAAGAAAAAAGAAAACCACCCUAUUGUUUCAAUGUCAGAGCCCCUAAGAGAUCAUCUGGGAGCCGCUGCCGUUCUUCAGCCAUGUUUUACACAGCUGUUUUAUCCACCACUCAUCUCAAACUCCUUAUCAGUAUUUAAAAUAUCUGCAACUGCAAUAUUUCCUGAUAACUUUCCCCCCUAACCUUGCAAAAUGUUUUUUUUCCUUCAUCCUUUACUCAUCUUUUUCUAUUGUGUAAGAGUCUCUGUGAGCUCCAUUGUUUUUAUGAUGGCAAAAGGGAAAUGGUUUUGUUUCUUUUAACUUUUAUUGCUAUGUAAUGUAACAAGCAGACAGAAAAUGCAAACACAAAUAUCUAAUUUCACAAAUAAUUACAAAGCAAAAACUGGUGUGCCGACCUCAGAGGAAACUUGCUAGCCCCAGAACCCCCCACCCUCCGCCCAUCCCCUCCCACCCACACCCUACCUGUCCCCCAGAGACAACAGCUAUUCCAACCUUCCUGAUGUUUUCCUGACUUUUCUUCGUAAUUUUCCCACUUUCAUAUGCAUCCCCCUCAAAACAUGGCUCAGUUUUACCUGUUUUUGAACUUCGUAUGAAUGAAUCAUACCAAAUGUGCUCUUUUAUAUCUUGCCUCUUUUACUCAACAUGGUGAGAUGUAUUCAUGCUUUUGGGUGUGGCUACAGUUCAUUCAUCUUUAUGCCUUACAGUGUUGGUGAGAGGCAUCCAUGCUUUUGGGUGUGGCUAUGAUUCAUUCAUCUUCAUCCCAGGUCUUGUUGGUGAGAUGCAUCUGUGCUUUUGGGUGUGGCUAUGGUUCAUUCAUCUUCAUCCCAGGUCUUAUUGCUGAGAUGCAUCUGUGCUUUUGGAUGUGGGUACGGUUUAUUCAUCUUCAUGCCAUAUCGUGCUGUGCUACAUGUGUUUUCAAGCUAUGCGAUUGUUUAUCCAUUUAUUUCACUGUUUACUGAUAAAAAUUGGAGUCCACGUUAGUCCAUUUUGCUUUGCUAAGGAAUACCUGAGACUGGGUAACUUAUAAAGAAAAGGUUUAUUUGAUUCAUGGUUCUGCAGAUUGUAGAAGGAACAUGGCACCUGCCCCUGCUUCUGGCGAGGCCUCAGGAAGCUUCCCCUCAUAAAGGAAGGCAAAGGGGUGCGAGCAUGUCACACAGUGAGAGCAAGAGAACCACAGGAGGAGGUGCUCUGCUCUUAGACAACCAGCUCUCUCCUGGACUAAUAGAGCGAGAAUUCACUCAUUACCAUGGGGAUAGCCCCAAGCCAUUCAUGAGGGAUUCAUUCCCAUGACCCAGAUACCACCCUCUAAGCCCUACCGCCGAAACUGGGGAUCAAAUCUCAACAUGAGAUUUGGAGGGGACAAACAUCCAACUGUAUCAGAAUUGUUCACAGUUUGGGCUGCUAUGACUAAUGUGCUGCACAUUUUUGUGCUGGUCCAAGCGUGCAUGAGUUUCUGUAGGGUGAGUGGGAGUGGAUUUGCUGGAUCGUAAGGUGUGUGAAUCUUCAGCUCUUCUAAGUGCGGCCAACUUGUUUUCCAAAGUGCCAGUCCCAGCUUAGAUUCUCACUAGCAAUGUAUGCCAGUCCCCAUGUCCCCUUUUCUGACUAGGAGAGCUGUAUUUAGAGAGAUAUGGGCCCCAAGGCAGCACAGCCGGUGGGUGGUUACCCAGAAGGAAGUGUGUACUCAGCAUCCUUCAUGGGCCCCUUGCAUACUGUCACAGAAGCUCUGCAAUUGAAUUUCAGUGAUGCUCAGCAAAGAACACAGAAUGGGGCCUAGGACAGCUGCUCCAGCGUCCCUCCCAAGGGGCAGGUGCUCACCAGCACUUGAUAUUGCCAGACUUUAAAAAUUUUUGCUAAGCUCGGCAGUGAUUUCUCAUGACUUUAUUUGCAUGUCUCUGAUUACUAAUAAGACUGAGCACUUUCACAUGUUUAUUACUCAUAUGAAUUUCUUCUUUUGAAAUGCCCAUUCAAGCCUUUGCCUAUUUUUUCUCUUUUUCUUAUUGAUUUGUAAGAAUUCUUUAUAUAUACUGGAUGCCAUUUCCUUGCAGUUACAUGUAUCAUGUAUUUUAUGUAUUUUCGUGUAUUUUAUAUCAUGUCUUUUCCUGCUAUGAUUUGCUAUGAACAUGCUCAUAUAACUUAGGGUUAGGGUUAGGGCUGGGGUUAGGUUUAGGGUUUAUAAACUAAAAAAUUUUUAUGAAACCUUUUUGAUUUAACUAUAACAUUAAAAGCCUUUUGUUGGUGGAAUGUACUUUACAAUAAUCUGAAGCUUUAUAGAAAAGGCCAUAUUUCUUUUAAUUAUGCAUUUAGAUGGCAGAUCAAUUUAAUAUAUUCAUAAUUCCACUAUUUUAGGCAGGUGGUGGCUUUUUAAAAGGACCUAGGAUGGUUUUUUUUUUUUUUUUUGUCAGCUUUGUAUUACUAUCUUCUCCAUAUGUUCUAACACUUAUUUUAUACUGCAUUCUUCUUUUUCCUUUCUUUUUUUUUUUUUUUUUUGCUUUGUUUUGUUUUAGAGAUGGGUCCACCUUGGUCUUGAACUCCUGGGCUCAAGUGAUCCUCCUGUCUCUCAAAGUGCUGGGAUUACAGACAUGAGCCACCUUGCCUAGCCUUAUUUUUCUAUAGAGCACUGCAAGCUCCUAAGUAUUAACCAAAGUGGAAUACAAAAGAGAACAUUUUAACAGAUGAAUCAGUCUUAAUGACCAGAAGAAACAUCACUGGGUGGGGUUGAGAGCCAGCUGUGAAUGAAGACUUUUUCUUGCCUGUUUGAAGGCUUAGAAUUAGAUACAUAGUACAUUUCUUUAUUGUUUUAAAAAAUCAUUUUAUGAAAAAGUACAUACUUGGGCAUGGUGGCUCAUGCCUAUAAUUCCAGCACUUUGGGAGACCGAGGCGGGCAGAUCAGCUGAGGUCAGGGGUUCAAGACCAGCCUAGCCAACAUGGCAAAACCCUGUCUCUCCUGAAAAAAAGAAAGAAAAAGUACAUACUCAUGGACAAAUAUAAUCCGAAUAGAAAAGAACAAGAGAAAGUAGAAGUCACUUCAAAUUCUACCAGCCAGGGAUAAUCACUGCUAAUAUUUUACUCAGCAGGCUUCCAGUCAUCUUUCUACGAUUUCACAUACAGAUAUUCUUGCCCCUAAAAAGGGGACCAUCCACUCCACGUCCCCUUUCCCUAGGGCAGGUGCUAUCCAGUUGUUGUGCACCAGACAGCAAGAGCCUGCAGGGAGAUUCUCAGUGGCCCCGCCAGCUGCUACUUCCUUCUCCCCAUUUUUUUUUUUUUUUUUUUUUGCAUUUCCAAGAGAAAUAUGGAAACAGAAGAGAGGAAAGGAAGGAA